rnacentral:rRNA from 1 species
UACGUAGGCAGCGAGCGUUGUUCGGAAUCACUGGGCGUAAAGGGCGCGUAGGCGGCUUGAUAAGGUUGCGGUGAAAGCCCGGGGCUCAACCCCGGGUCGGCCGUGGCAACUGUCGAGCUGGAGCACUGUAGAGGCAGGUGGAAUUCCGGGUGUAGCGGUGGAAUGCGUAGAGAUCCGGAAGAACACCGGUGGCGAAGGCGGCCUGCUGGGCAGUGGCUGACGCUGAGGCGCGACAGCGUGGGGAGCAAACAGG